GCACUGAUCGAGCAUUCUUUAACGAGGCGUCUGAGCACAACCUGGAGUUGCGCGAGGUGGAAGUGUCGAGAACCAGCCCAGGUGAUGGCAUUUACAGCGGUGUGAUUUACGAAAUCAUUCUCAAGCGAGAUUGUCACAAUUGUCGUACCUUUACUGCUCCACAUAUUUGAGAACUCGAAGAGCUUCUCAAUGGUUUCAAACUCCUCUGGAAACGUUAGCAGUCAACCAGAGAAGAUGGUAUGCCAUAAAGGCUUGGAAACUACACAGCAAACAGUGUUUGCGAAGACUAUGUUGGUAUCUAUAUGGUAUUAGUAAACAUAAUUGAUCUUUUCAUUACACAUAGUUGAUGAUCUGAGUUUUGAAUCUCCUUUGCCUGCAUUUCAAACUAGUCUUUUGAGCCUUGAAUCUCCUUUGCCUAGAUUUCAAACUAGUGAAGGAUCUAUUGCUGAGCAGCAACCUUGUAAAAUAAGCUGCCACGAAACAUUUUGUUGUUUUUACCCCUCAAAACUCCAGGAUGCACUGUCCUGUUACAUUGUGCUUUGCUUGCAUUGUCUCAUACUCAAGGGAAUCGUGCUUUCAUGUGCUAUAUUUGUUACGAUACUGCGACAGCUUCCCAAAUCCCUGCUUGUAAUUGCGUUGGUGUACAUCGCCGUGACUUAGCUGUAGAGCAGCCGAAAUUACAAUGAAGAAUGAUACAGCAAUACAAGUUGGGGGCUCAGAUGGGAACACGGAAGAACAUCAAAAUCUUAAGAGGAGAGCACAGAGAUUGGUGAGUCUGUCAGAGCAAGUGAAAUUUGUGGCUCUAGUAUUGUCAGCCCUGGAGAAGGGUGCAACAUACAUAGGGCAAAUAGCAUUCGUGGGCGCCACUGUGGUCCUGCUGGGGGGUUACGUCUCUCAGCUCAAGCCUUACGAUUUCAAGCUCAUUUCUGGUCUGCUGCUUUCAGAGGGUGUGCGAGUGUUCUUAGUCAGCAAGAAUGUUGAUUACUUAGUAGCCGCUGGGUACCACAAAAGUAUCUUUGGAGGGAUAGUUUUCUGGGCUUUGGGAUGUUAUGGCAUUUGCUGUUCGAGGCAGUGGUCAAAUCAUAUAAAGGAGCUGUCAAUACAUCUGAUAUUCCAUGGGCUCCAAGUGGGUAGUGCAGCUGUAACAUUUGGUUUCUCCCUUGCUCGGAUCAAGUCAGGAGACUACAAACACAUCUCGUCGUCGGAUGUAGAGGAGGUGGCCAACUUUGUGUUUGGGAUCAAGCUGUUCUACAUUCUGACUUUGGUGGAGUCAUCAGUUUUCUUGGCGGUCAAACUACUGGGUUGGGACUCCUUCGGGUUGUGGCUGAGAAGUAUUGCGGGUAAGGCUGAAGCGCAUAUACUUGCACACCAUGUAUGCCCACGUGUGCAUGAGGCGUUUAUGAGAGAGGGAUUCAGUAAAGCAUUAGGUGUAAAUCUUUUCACUUACGUCAUCAAUUGGUUUUUGGAUGAAGAACACCAAAAAUGGGAUGAAGAACACCAAGAACGCAGCUCCCAUCACGAGCAGUUACUGGAGCUCCUUUGCUGGAACAUACCUCACGAAGCUAGAACCUUUGGAAGUAUCAAAUGCAUGAUUCAGCUCAUUGCUCUCGGAACAUCAUAUCAUGAAAAACCAAGGCAUACUGCAAACAAGAUUCUAGCAAAGGUUGUAUUAACACCAGGUCAGUUACACAACUUCGUAUUAGCGGUGCGAGAAUUUGGAAUAAUUCCUUUGGCGGUUGUGGACUUUGACGUGAUCAAAUUCCUGGACCGCAUUGUCACAGAAGCACCAGUGGGCUUCCUUCCUCGUGAAGCAGUUUCCAAGCAAGCAUCCGAGUAUCUAAUCAAAUCCAUUAUUGACGGAAGCGACGACGAGAUCAAAGCCGAAGCGGCCUGGACAUUCUUAGAGUGGUGGAGCAGUCCGAGUGUUUACCGGAGCUAUGCUUUUGAUCCUGCAGAUAUCUUUCACAGGAUUUUCAUUCAUAGGCAGUGGUCAAUAUCUAAAAGACAAGUAAGCCAUUCCGAGCUCGAAACAGGUUCGGGAUAUGAAUCAGUUACUGGUCCGUUUAUAACAGUCUUGAGUAAGAAACAUCAGAGGUCAGGUAUCAUGAACAAGUUUUUGAGUAGGGUGGACUUCAGUAAACUCAAGAACAAGCGAAGCACUAUCAACCUGUCUGGCAUUGUCACUGAGGUUAUUGGUGCCAAGUCAGAGCUAGACGAUAUUGUAGUUGGGCUGGUGGCUGCUUGGAUAUGGUUCAUGGAUGAAUCCACUUUCCACAAGGCAAUGUCCAACUUGAGUGAAGCGGAGCUGGGCAUGCUCAAGAGGAGUCCUCGUAUUUAUGAGGCUAUACUGUUAUCUGAGAAGGGAGAAUGGUUUCACAACAGACACACACUAUCUUUAGAAGGUAAGGGAGUUUAUAUAGCUGGUCUCUAGCCAGUAACCACCAUUUUCUAACACGAAGUUCUUGUAAUUCACAAAUACAAUACGUACUGUACACAGGCAUUGGUACCACAUCUGGAGAUCGACGUCACAGCCAAGAACACUGAGUAUCAAGCUUGCUCCUUCAGUCAGUCGUCAGUAUGGACAUGGGAGGAACGUAGCCUCUGCCGGUCAUCUCCAGGUAAUAAAAGUGAGCUCUGUCCAUCCUGUUUGCUGUGAUCAUCCCAUUGAGCAGUGCGUUGUAGGUGACGCGAUCGGGCCUCCACCAGCGAGUCAUCUCCUGGUACACGGGUUCACCUUGCCCGACUUGAUGAGAGCGCUGAUGAUCGAGUUGUAGGCGUAAGGGUGCGGCAUUCCUUCCUUCCUGAUGGCGUUGAAAAGCGACACGGCCUCGUCGACCCGGUUCGCUUUGCAGAGAUGGAAGAUCAGCCUGGUCCGCGUCUGGCUGUUUGCAACACCGCUCCUCUCCAUCUCGUCAAAGAGCAUGCAGCCACCUUCGAGCUUCCCCGACUUGCAGAGCCCGUCCACCAAGCUGCUGUAGACGAAGCUGUCCGGAGGUCAGCCUCUCUCCUUCAUGUGCUGGAAGUAUAGCGAGGCCUUGGUCAGCUGGCGGCGCUUGCAGAGGCCGGAGAUGAGAGCCCCGUAGGUGACAACGUUUGCGGAGCACCGGCUGGAGCUCAUGUCGUCGAAGACUCCACAGGCAGCGUCGGUGUUCCCGGCCUUGCAGAACCCCGAGAUGAGAAUGUUGUACGUGUAGACGUCGGGCUUGCAUCCGGCCUCGAGCAUCUCGUCGAAGAAGGCCCGUGCUGCCUCAACGUCGCCACUCUUGCAAAGCCCGUCGAUGAGGAUGUUGUAAGUGAUGGUGUCCGGGGUGCAAAACGCCUUCUUCAUCUGGGCCAGCAUCUCCAGCGCACAGUCCAUCUUCCUGGCCUUGCACAGGCCGUGGAUGAGAGCGCUGUACACCACCUCGUUUGGAGCCAGGCCUCGAGCUUCCAUCGACUUGAAGAUCCGGACUGCCGCUCCAAUCCUCCCGGCCUUGGAGAGGCCGUCGAUCAUGGUGCUGAGAGUUACCACGUCGGGAACGCAGCCGUGGGACGUCAUCGUCUUGUAGACCGAGGAAGCUUGCGGGAUUUUCCCGGUCUGGAGGAGUUCCCGGAUGAGAGCAGUGUAGCAGACGGUGUCGAGAGCCAGUCCCCGCAAAGCCAUCUCCUUGAAAAGCUUGUAAGCUUCGAAGGAUCGCUUCUCCUUGCCGAGGCCAUCGAUGAGCGAGGUGUAAGUGACCACGUCCGGCGUGCAGCCAUUGUCGACGAUCUUGCGAAGGAGAUCAAUGGCUUCUUCGAGGCGUCCCAUCUUGCAAAGACCAUUGAGGAGAGCGUUGUAGGUGGCGAUGGUGGGAGUACACCCAUUGGCAGUGAUCUUCUCCAUCAGAGCCACGGCCUCUUCGAUCUUCUUGUUCUUGGCGAGCCAGUCCACAAUGGCGGUGUAGGUGUGGAUGUCGAUCGUGCAGCCAUUGAUUGUGGUCUCCUGGGCGAGGGAGUGAGCUUGGAUCAUCAUACCUGCCUUGACGAGGCCAUUGAUGAGGAUCGAGAAUGUCGCAGCGGUCACCGGCAUGGAUCUCCUCACCAUCUCGAAGUGAUCCAUCGCCGCGAGGACCUGGCCCGACUUGCACAGGCCGUGGAGGACGAGAUUGUGGGUCUUGAGCGACGGCGCCACGCCGUAAUCCUCCUCCAUCUCCCUAAUAACCGCGAAUGCCUCCUCGGGCUCGCGAGCCAGGCAGUAGCCGGUGAUGAGGACGUUCCAGGUCUCCACAUCCGGCCGAAAUAUCGUCGCGAGCUCGUUCUUGAGGAGAUUCCCGCCCUCCCUGUGGCGCUUGGUCCUGGCAAACACAUCCAGGCUGUGCUGGAAGCCGAAUCGAGGGGAGGAGAGGCACUGGAAGAGCUCCCAGGCGAGAUCGGCGUCCUUGAGGCACUGGAAGAUCUUCACCACGGCGUCAGUGGAGAUUUCCCGGCGUAGCCUGCCCAGCGCCGCCUCGAUCGAAUGACUGGAAGAGGAGGAGGAAGAGUGGAGCAUCUGCGCGAAAUCCCUGUAGCUCCAGACGCCCGCAUUGGAGCAAGCGGCAAGAUCGUCCGCCUCAUCCUCGGUGGAUUCCUGAGCUACCGGCUGCGUGGCGAUCGAUCUGGCGCGGCUGGGUACCUGGGCAAUGCGCGAUAGCCGGGCAAUGCGCGAGCAUCCAAAUCUUGCCGCCAUUCAUAAACCCUAACCCGUAGGGCUUUAGCGCAUCUUUUUUGAGUAACAUUCUUAUUCUCUUAGGGCUCAUGCGAUGGACGAGGACGACGAUGGAGGAGGUAUUGGAUCGCUGUUCCUGGACGAGAAGUAAGCUACUAGGAUUUAAUCGAUUCUAUCAUCCACUGCUAGCUACGUUGAGCAGCGCAUUUCCAUCGGCCAUCACGAGAUUCCUGUGCUCAGCCUACAAUGCUCUUCCAGUGAGUGUGUUCUUUCUCUCUCGGUUCCUCUCUUUCAAUGCGAUAGCUCGCAGCGGACUACGACCUCACUGGCCAGAUAAUCUGGCCUGGCACCGAGCUUCUCCUCAAUUACAUUGUGGAUCAUAGCCAAAGUUUUCAAGGAGCUUCGAUCAUUGAGCUGGGCUCUGGUGUUGGUAUAAAGUUCUUGGCAUGGUUUUCUCUUCUUUCUCUCUUUUUUUUUUUUUUCUAACACUUGUUUUUUUUUCAUGGUUUUUUUUCAUGGAGUGACUGGCCUUUUGUGUGGAAGGAUUGGCUGCCGCAAAGUCGUCAUGACUGAUCACAAUGACAUCGUUUUAAAGGCAGGAAUUUUCAUGCAUGGUUUCUUAAAACAAGUUUGGGGAUCGCUGCUAGAUCAUGCGGAAAAACGUGGCGCUUCAGCAGGACACGGCGUUGCUAUCGCGUGAGUUCUUUCUCACUGAUAUAUGAUAUAUGAGAGAUCUCGUUUGUUUGUUUGAUUUUUUCUUUUUUCCUCAUUGCAGGGAUUGCCUGUGAAAAGCUUGAGUGGGGGAAUGAAGAACAGCUCUCUCUCAUCCUUGACAAGCAUCCGGAGGGAUUUGACUACAUCCUUGGGGCCGACAUUUAUAUCCCUUUGAUGGAAGCUUUUUUACUCCAAGUUUCUCCUUGAACAGAUCCUAUCACGCUACCAGCAAUGCAACAUUCCUCCGCUAAUCAGGACUGUCAACAAACUUUUGCAACACCACCACUGCCGCAAGUUUCUUCUUGCUUACGUCUCUCGCAUACAGAGGUUAUUUUGCUUCUUUUUUUGUGUUUUCUUGAAUCUUUUGUUUCUUUUUUUCAGCACUGAUCGAGCAUUCUUUAACGAGGCAUCUGAGCACAACCUGGAGUUGCGCGAGGUGGAAGUGUCGAGAACCAGCCCAGGUGAUGGCAUUUACAGCGGUGUGAUUUACGAAAUCAUUCUCAAGCGAGAUUGUCACAAUUGUCGUACCUUUACUGCUCCAAACAUUUGAGAACUCGAAGAGCUACUCAAUGGUUUCAAACUCCUCUGGAAACGUUAGCAGUCAACCAGAGAAGAUGGUAUGCCAUAAAGGCUUGGAAAC
rnacentral:lncRNA from 1 species